GCGGUUGUGGCUCAGUGGUAGAGCGCUCGUCUAGCAUGCGUGAGGCACUAAGUUCGAUCCUUAGCACCACA
rnacentral:tRNA from 1 species